AUCCUACUAUAUAAAAGGAGCUAUUUUAAAGGCUUCUAAAGUGUGCCACAUAUGCAAAAAAUUCCUGGCCAAUCAAUCUAACAGCUCAUCUUAAACUGGGCUGAUAUCCAUGUCAAUUACGAAGCCCAAACAAUUUAUUUAAAUCCCAGUCAAUACUGAAGUCAGCCCAAUAUCCAUUUACGGUAUAUGAUACCAAGAAACUAAGAAGCUCAUUCUAUUUUAUGAAAUUACAUGCUUUUGUUUAGUCUUUCGCCACAGUGACCGGAGGCGUGUUGAAUCACAAAGCUUCUCACGCAUCCCAUUAUUAUACUAUUUCAAUUGAGGUUCUUAGUGUUGUUCUAACUUAUAUUUAAAAAUAAAUUUUAUUAAAUGUUAUAGAUUUUACUAUUAUCUUAAUAAAAUUUAAUAUAGAUUUGAUAUAUAUUAUAUCAAAUUAUAUAAAACUAAUAAAAAUGAUAUAAAAUUGUAUAAUUAUCAAACAUUUGGCCUAAACAAUAUUUUUAAAAUUUUGUAGAUAUAUAAGAAACUAAAUAUCAUACGAUUAGAUAUUAGAUGUUUAAGAAUUGCAUAUUUUUAAAAGCUUUAGUAAUACAAAUUGUAUAAUUAUAUAAAAAUAAUAAUAUUACUAAAUCUGGAAUGGUAUAUAUGAAUAUAUAUUUAUUUUAUAGAUGAUGCAUAAGAUAUUACCAACAUUAAAUAAAAUUAUCCGUCUCAUGUUUAUUUUUUUAAUUGUAGAGAUGACAUGUAGCAAAAUGCCCAAAAUGACCCUAAUACCCUAGAUAUAUAGAAAAUAUAAAAAAUUUGAAAUAUAAUACAAUAAUUAUUUGUAGAUAACUGGUACGUUUAACUUUGUGGGACAAGGAGACGUCUAAUUUCAGGGAGUAAAAUCGCAUAUCUACCAGAAAAAACUAAAUCGUAAUCAUCACAAGUAUCAUUCUACGGUUACAUGAAGGGAAACUAUCACUCACAACCACACCUGGAUCACGCUUCUACUUUGACAACAAUAUUGAUAUCAUACAACGCUUCCAAAAGAGGAAUAAAUGUCUAUCCUAAGCCUCAUAGCAAACGACACCAGUCAACUUUUUUAAAAUUUACGUUACAGCUUUCUACGUCAAUUAAAUAGGCACACUCAAAUACUAUUUUCUCUUACGAAUAUUAAAUUCAUCAACAUAAUUUAUUAUUCAAACUUACUUUAGUUUAUAAAAAAAAGUGAUCACCGCUUCCAACGUCUUCGCAUUAUAAAAGAAACAAAACUUAACUUACACUUUCAGAAACUUUAAAACUUCCAAUUUUAAUUAAACUGUUUUUUAAUUAAACAUAUAAUCCGCGCGAAGCGCGGACACGGACUCUAGUAACUCUAAAAAGAAAAGCGCUGACAGCUAGGGAGAGAGGGAUGAUACUUUUAAUGGGACUCACAUGUUAUUCAUUAGGACCUAUUUACAUAAAAUGAAAUGAUCAUAUAAUACUAUUUAGUACACUUAUUACUUGUUAAAGAAAUAGUAUAUAGAAUAAUAAAAGCUACAAAAAUGAAUUCAGGAUUAUCUACUAGGAAUCAGAGACAUAUCUUGUAGUUCCACGUGCAGUUUUAAUUGGUUCGUAUUUAUUUGUAGCGAAAUUAUAGAACUAUAUUUUAUUUAUUUUUUCUCACCUAGAAAAAAGGUUUCUGAAGUUUUAAUUUGCUCACCUGUAAAGUAGGUUUUAAUUGAUCAUCUAACUUUCUUUUAUCAACAUUGUAGGCUAUAGAACCAAUGCCCAAUUCGAAGCCCACUCUACUAUACUUGAUGGUAAUAUUCCAUUGCAAACACAUGUUUCCAAGAGAAAUUAGGUGUCAUAUACACUAAAAAUGACAAAAUUAGCUAUCUACCUCAUCUACUAUUCAGUUUUCAAAAUCUCAAAACUAACCCUACAUACCUAUUGAUUAGCAUGGGCUCCACACUAUAUCUUUUAUAUUCAUCAUCUCUCUUUUUCUCUCCUAUAUUCAUCAUAUCUCUCUUUUACUUUUCCGUUGAUACAUUCAUCUCCAAAAUUAUUAUUUUCCAGAGAACCUUCUUCUUCGUUUCAGUCACUGUAGUGAGCUUAGUAAUAUUUGCAGUUUCGAGAACGGACAAUGUGUGUUCGACGAAACGUUGCUCAAAUUGGCCGCAAUUAUUCCUGAUGAUCAAAAGUUUAAUCAACAAAUUGAUCUGUUUUCCUUUUACAACAGCACAUGGAGAAGCCACCUCAGCUAUUUCAGAUUCAUGUCAAGGCCAAUUGAUAGCCACCGUGAAAGAAAAUACAUUAUUUUCAAGUGUUCGAUAAUGCUUCACUCCCUUUAUGUAUUUCGUUAUUGGCUAGAGUUGAGAAACCUAAGGUUCAGGACUCAUAAGAAAGCUUACGGACCUGAAGCCAGAGAAGAGACGAGCAAGUUCUUGAAGUUCUUUUUCGAUAUAGAUAACAUUUAUGGUAGCCGCUAAUUUUUUUGUUACCUGUUAUUUCAUAUGUUUAGUGGAUCUUCAUUUUUAUACCGCCAUUUGGGAUAACAUUUUUCGUAGAUGUUAAUAUCAGAUUGUUGCUAAUUGAUAAAGUGUGGUAAGCUGUUACAUAAUAGUUGUUGUUAACUGAUAUAUAAUGUGUUAACUAAUACAUGGUUUUGUUACCUGAUACUUUGAUUGAUUUCAUGGCCUUGUUUAGCUGCUUCAUUGUUUGUUACAUGAUAUAUUGUUUGACACAAUGU